GGGGGGGGCGAGAGAAGAGGGGGUAGGGAGGGAGAAAGAAUGAAAGAAAGAAAAGAGAGUUAGAUAAAGAAAUUUAAGAGGAAAAGAGAAAGAGGCGGAGAGGGAAGAGAGAGAAAAGGGGAGAAAGAGACGGGGGCUGGGCCUCAGUAGGCUACAUUUUGAGAGGCGGUUUAAUUUGCUACAUCCAAGGGCAUGUUACACAAAAAAUGUUUUCAAUCAUUUCAAAUUUCUGUUGCUAAUUUACACAAAUUAUUGAUUAAUCAAGUGAAGCUAUAGCAAAUUUCUGUUGCUAAUUUACAAUUGAUAUGUCAAGUGUAGCUACAGCAAACUUCUGUUGCUAAUUUAUAAUUGAUAUUAUAUUAAGUGUUAUAGCAAAUAGAUUUUUACUACCUAUUGCAAGUAGCAUGGAGACAAGCGAUCAAGUACAAAAUAAUUUACAAUUGAAUGUCAUAUUUAUGAUUGAAUUUGGGAUUUAAAAAUCCAGUCGCAAUUGAUUGGGAUUUUAUGUUCAUAAAUUGGACCAUGACAAAGGACGAUUGGUAAAGUGCAAUGGUGUUCGUCCAUCAAUUGUCCUAAAGUUUUUAUAUCACAAAGUGUGAGUUGGAUAUUUAUUUGAAACAAUUACCAACAAGUAGCAAAUAUGUGUGCCGAAAAUGAGUAUAUUGAUCGAAAAUUUGAAUGUUUCACUCAAGCUAAUCAUGCUAACAAAAAAGAAAAAUGUGUUAAAAAUAUUGUGUGGCGGGGGCGUCCUUGCGUAAAGUCACGCGUAAGAUAAUAUCAGCUUUAACGUCCCCCGCCGUGUGCCCAUCGUGAAAAAAAUAAACGUAGUAUAACAUACAGUAUGUCUAAAAACAAGGAACCUCUUUACACAAAAUUUGACAACAUUAGUCUAUGAAUAUUAAUCGAUCAUCUGUGUGUUUGGUUAAAGCUAACCUAGCGUAUAACAAAAAAAAUACGAAUAAAAUUGUGUUCAAAAUUUUUUUUUGCUUGCCAUAAUUAGAGGUGCGUAAAGUCAUGCGUAACUUAAAAACAUAGCAGCAUCGAAAAUGAAACACCCCACGAUGUAUCAACGGGCCCAUGAAACAAAUAUGUUGAAAUGGAACUGUUUAAUUACAAAGGAUGUUACGCUGCAGCGAUAUGGGACGUGCCUAUUCAAGCUUUGAUGGCCUCCCGCAGAUUAAGAACACAAUGAAAGCGAAAGGAAAAUAACUAAAUUGAUGGAUCACCACUUUUAACUCUAUUUAUCUAGUUUAAUAUUAAAACGAUUAAGAAUGAUGUAACCAAAUGUCAAGACGUUUAUUAAGGUUUCUAAUAGUUGGGCAGCCAUUGAAGAGGAGUUGGAAGGUAUAUAAGAACAGAGAUUUGGUUGCAGGAGCCAAACCUGAGAAGGAUCUGAAAUCAUCUAUCAGACUCACCAGACUUAUCAUUACCAGGACAGCGAAUUUAACAAUAACACAAUGGUUUCCAAGGUACUGAUCGCUUUCAUGGCCAUGAUGGUGGUUGCCAUGGCAUUCGAGUUCGAAGAGACCGACGGCGAUGAGGGUUUCGACGUCGAGUUCAUGAAGAGGGAUCCUGUAAUGCGAGAUUACUGGCUAGCCUACAAGAGGGGAGAUUCAAUGAGCAAAUACAAGCCAUGUGAAAAAGCUCCCGGAUGCUGGUGUACCAAGAGAAGAAACAAGGUCGCUUACUGUGCUGGUAAGAAAACGAGUUUAUGUUCUUUGCUCCACAAUCAGUUUGGGCUACUCUUCAAAUAGUCAUAUACCACGUGGGCUAAACAUAUUUGAUCAAUAAACUAUCACUUUGUUUUAAUUGCUGUUUAUACUUGUCGUAAUGUGAUACCAUCUUCUUCUAAUUCUUCAUUUAGCCUUAUUCACGGUUGUUCUAAUUUCCACUACCUCUCUACUUAUCAUUUUUAAUGAGAAUAGGGCAUUUUAGCAAUGACUUUGCAGACGUUUUAAAUAACGCUGAUAAUCUUUUUCAAAAGCCCUUCAUACAAAAGCAUAAUUUCUUUGUCAAAAGUCGGUGAAUCAAAACAAGAGUGUCGUCCUGGACUCUGGACAAAAAACUUUUUUUUUCGUCCGGUCUGAAGCUUAAGGACGUUCCACAGUUAAAGUGAAAUCCAUGUCAUUUUCACCAAACUUUGCACAUAGAUACUUUAGAACCUUAAUAUUCGAAAUAUGCAAAAAUUAACAUAGGUCCAUGUGCUUGAUUUUUUGCUAUAGAGCUUCAAAUUUCACCCAAAUUGAUGUUCUUAAGAAUUGCGCAUUCAAAAGAAUUUGGCAUUUUUAGACCGCCCAAGAUUACUACAAUGAGUUUAAACCUCCAUUACUCAUUCAAAAUACAUGAAAAAGUCAUCAAAUUUCGCAAGAGAGUUAAUAAUUGUAUCGUUAGAAUUGAGAAUCUAUUAAUAGUGCUAUUUGUUUGCAAUUUUAAGUUUAACAGCACUGUCAGUUCUUAAAAAUGGCGUAAAAGAUAACAAAAUCCCAAUCUGAAAAAUGUAAAAUUUCAGUAACAAAAUACAAACGUACAAUAAAUGCUGCACUUUAUUCAAAAUCCAUGUCAUUUUCACCAAAAUUUGCAGAGUUGUAGAGGAAGGUAUACCUAAGAGGUAGAAACAUUAAAAAAUAGGGGUUCAUGUGCUUGUUUUUAAACUAUCAGCAUUUUUAUUAGAGCAAAUGUGCUUUUUAAAACACAAAAAAUGGGCAGAAUGCUUAGUAUCUAUGUGAAGAAAAAAUCAAAACCACUCUACCAUUUAUUCAAACUCGGGCUAAUAUUCGUGAUUCUUGGCAGCACUGCAGAGUAAAGUAUUUUGAAAUUGUAGAGAACAUUUUUUUGAAUGGUCCAUGGAAUAAUUCAAUUUUUUAGCUUCAUGAAAUAACGCAUCGGAUCUGCAGUUAAAGUGCAGAAGACGAGAAAAAUCAGCUCAUACCCGCAGCUAAUUAAUACCUGUUCAUCCAUUGUGGCGUCAGCGCGCAGAGUGUAAACUAUGCGCAGAUCAUAAUGCGCACAAAUAUAACUGUGGAACGUCCUUAAGACGAUGUGCUGUCCAGGGCCCCGUUGCAUAAAACUUUUGCCAGACUUAUUUUUGCCAUAGUUUUUCUAUGGCAAAAACCUUAGUUUUUUGCCAGAGUUUCAAAUUCGGUCAAAAUUUCAUGGCAAAAAAACUCUGGCAAACUUUUGCCAGAGUUUUUUAUGUUGCCAGAGUUUUUUAAGACUGAAUAAACUUGAACGAGGAUGAACGCCGAUAUCAGCCGAUAUCGCGAUCGGUAUCUGCUGCUGCUGAAAAAAUCACGGAGACUCCACAGAACG